UGGGGAAUAUUGCGCAAUGGGCGAAAGCCUGACGCAGCGACGCCGCGUGGGUGAUGAAGGCCUUCGGGUCGUAAAGCCCUGUCGGGAGGGACGAAACCUCGGUGACCUAAUACGUCACCGACCUGACGGUACCUUUUAAGGAAGCACCGGCUAACUUCGUGCCAGCAGCCGCGGUAAUACGAAGGGAGCUAGCGUUGUUCGGAAUCACUGGGCGUAAAGCGCACGUAGGCGGACUUUCAAGUCAGGGGUGAAAUCCCGGGGCUCAACCUCGGAACUGCCUUUGAUACUGUUGGUCUCGAGUCCGGAAGAGGUGAGUGGAAUUCCUAGUGUAGAGGUGAAAUUCGUAGAUAUUAGGAAGAACACCGGUGGCGAAGGCGGCUCACUGGUCCGGUACUGACGCUGAGGUGCGAAAGCGUGGGGAGCAAACA
rnacentral:rRNA from 1 species